UUUUUUACAUCUAGGUGCUAUGCAAAAAUAACACCUUAGACUUGGUCUCUGACUUAUAAACAUUUAAGUCUGAGGCAAUUCUGACACUGAUCUACCUACAGACUAAAAUCUGAUGGCUCACGUCAGACAAUAAGCUAAGGAUGUUAUACCAAGCCUACAACACUGAAUUAAUUGGAAUUUUAAAGCCCCUAUCCAUGGAGCUGUAGCAGAAUCUUUUUGAAGACUGAAAAACAAAUUGGACCUCAUGCCUUAGAUUGGUUCUCACGCUUGAUUUUUUGAAAGUUGAAGUGUCA
rnacentral:lncRNA from 1 species